AGGGUUUUGGAUUGGCUCAGAUUGAACGCUGGCGGCAGGCCUAACACAUGCAAGUCGAACGGUAACAUUUCUAGCUUGCUAGAAGAUGACGAGUGGCGGACGGGUGAGUAAUGCUUGGGAACUUGCCUUUGCGAGGGGGAUAACAGUUGGAAACGACUGCUAAUACCGCAUAAUGUCUUCGGACCAAACGGGGCUUUUAGCUCCGGCGCAAAGAGAGGCCCAAGUGAGAUUAGCUAGUUGGUAAGGUAACGGCUUACCAAGGCGACGAUCUCUAGCUGUUCUGAGAGGAAGAUCAGCCACACUGGGACUGAGACACGGCCCAGACUCCUACGGGAGGCAGCAGUGGGGAAUAUUGCACAAUGGGGGAAACCCUGAUGCAGCCAUGCCGCGUGUGUGAAGAAGGCCUUCGGGUUGUAAAGCACUUUCAGUUGUGAGGAAAAGUUAGUAGUUAAUACCUGCUAGCCGUGACGUUAACAACAGAAGAAGCACCGGCUAACUCCGUGCCAGCAGCCGCGGUAAUACGGAGGGUGCGAGCGUUAAUCGGAAUUACUGGGCGUAAAGCGCACGCAGGCGGUUUGUUAAGCUAGAUGUGAAAGCCCCGGGCUCAACCUGGGAUGGUCAUUUAGAACUGGCAGACUAGAGUCUUGGAGAGGGGAGUGGAAUUCCAGGUGUAGCGGUGAAAUGCGUAGAUAUCUGGAGGAACAUCAGUGGCGAAGGCGACUCCCUGGCCAAAGACUGACGCUCAUAGCGAAAGCGUAAUGCC
rnacentral:rRNA from 1 species